ensembl:misc_RNA Metazoa_SRP Metazoan signal recognition particle RNA
GUGGUGGCACACCCAUGCAGUCUCAGCUACUACAGAUACUGAGGCAGGAGGAUUGCUUGAGUCCAGGAGUUCUAAGCUGUAGUUCACUAUGCCAAUCAUUUAUCAACACAAAGUUCACCAUCAGUAUGGUGACCUCCAAGGAGAGGGGGAUCACCAGGUCACCUAAGAAGAGGUAAACCAGCUCAGGUCAGAAACCUGAGCAGGUCAAAACUCUUAUGCUGAUCAGUAGUGGAAUCAUGCCUCAGAACAGCCCUUGUACUUCAGCCUGAGCAAUUCAGCAAGACCCCAUCUCGG